rnacentral:rRNA from 1 species
UGAACGCUGGCGGCAGGCCUAACACAUGCAAGUCGAGCGGUAACAGGGGGUGCUUGCACCCCGCUGACGAGCGGCGGACGGGUGAGUAAUGCAUAGGAAUCUGCCCGAUAGUGGGGGAUAACCUGGGGAAACCCAGGCUAAUACCGCAUACGUCCUACGGGAGAAAGGGGGCUCCGGCUCCCGCUAUGGGAUGAGCCUAUGUCGGAUUAGCUAGUUGGUGAGGUAACGGCUCACCAAGGCCACGAUCCGUAGCUGGUCUGAGAGGAUGAUCAGCCACAUCGGGACUGAGACACGGCCCGAACUCCUACGGGAGGCAGCAGUGGGGAAUAUUGGACAAUGGGGGCAACCCUGAUCCAGCCAUGCCGCGUGUGUGAAGAAGGCCCUCGGGUUGUAAAGCACUUUCAGCGAGGAAGAACGCCUAGCGGUUAAUACCCGCUAGGAAAGACAUCACUCGCAGAAGAAGCACCGGCUAACUCCGUGCCAGCAGCCGCGGUAAUACGGAGGGUGCAAGCGUUAAUCGGAAUUACUGGGCGUAAAGCGCGCGUAGGUGGCUUGAUAAGCCGGUUGUGAAAGCCCCGGGCUCAACCUGGGAACGGCAUCCGGAACUGUCAAGCUAGAGUGCAGGAGAGGAAGGUAGAAUUCCCGGUGUAGCGGUGAAAUGCGUAGAGAUCGGGAGGAAUACCAGUGGCGAAGGCGGCCUUCUGGACUGACACUGACACUGAGGUGCGAAAGCGUGGGUAGCAAACAGGAUUAGAUACCCUGGUAGUC